UAUCCUUGUAAGCUGGGGGAUUGGCCCUGGCGUAUCCACAACCGGACCGUAAUCCGGUAUAUCCAGGGAAA
rnacentral:ncRNA from 1 species